rfam:Mycobacterium abscessus subsp. abscessus strain 57 genome assembly, contig: ERS244815SCcontig000008
GGUCAUGAGAACCAGCGACAAGCCCUGGCUAGCUGGUCGGCAACCCUCCACCACGGUGGGGUGCUCCAGGUGACGACCUGGCCGCGCUCAACCGUGCGUGGCAAGCGUGGACU